rnacentral:rRNA from 1 species
GACAGAGGGUGCAAACGUUGUUCGGAAUUACUGGGCGUAAAGCGCGUGUAGGCGGCUCUGCAAGUCGGGUGUGAAAUCCCACGGCUCAACCAUGGAAGUGCACUCGAAACUGCAGGGCUAGAGUUCUGGAGAGGAAGGUGGAAUGCUUGGUGUAGAGGUGAAAUUCGUAGAUAUCAAGCGGAACACCGGUGGCGAAGGCGGCCUUCUGGACAGUAACUGACGCUGAGACGCGAAAGCGUGGGGAGCAAACAGG